rnacentral:lncRNA from 1 species
UCCUCGCAUCAUUUUUUAAUUUGGCUAUUCAAUUUUUUAAAAUUUUAAUUUUACUAUCCGAUAUUUCAAUUUAUUUGAUUUGAAUCAACCAACGGUAUUUUGGCUUCAAAAUUUGAAUAUAUUAUUUAUUUUUACAUGUUUAGUUAGCAUACUUUGUUUAAUUCUCACAACUAUAAAUAAAGUUUGAAGUCAAGUUGUCGUUGACUUACUCAAAUCAAACAAAUUGAAAGAUUGAAUAGUAAAAUCAAAAUUUUGAAAAAUAGGAUAACUAAAUCAAAAUAGUUCAUAAUUUUGAUAAAUUCUGUACAUUUUUAUACUUCAGU